GCGUCGGUCCGCACUCCCUGUGACCCAGGACGUCAUGAUGCCUUCCCUGUUUUCUUAAUGAUAACUUGGCAGAAGAGGAGACAGGCUGCUAGGUUCUCCUCGGGUGGUUGCGUGAUCUUACUCAGCCUGCUAAAAAUGUCUGAAUUCUGUGUAGACAUUAGAGAUAAAAUAGAUUAAGAUACAGAUACUUCCUGACAGUAAAAGAGAGGUGGGGGAGAAUGAAGAGGAGGAGGAGGAGGAAGA